UACGUAGGGUGCAAGCGUUAAUCGGAAUUACUGGGCGUAAAGCGUGCGCAGGCGGUUUUGUAAGUCUGAGGGGAAAUCCCCGGGCUUAACCUGGGAAUUGCGUUGGAGACUGCAAGGCUAGAGUCUGGCAGAGGGGGGUAGAAUUCCACGUGUAGCAGUGAAAUGCGUAGAGAUGUGGAGGAACACCGAUGGCGAAGGCAGCCCCCUGGGUCAAGACUGACGCUCAUGCACGAAAGCGUGGGGAGCAAACAGG
rnacentral:rRNA from 1 species